ACUCAAAGGAAUAGACGGGGACCCGCACAAGCGGUGGAGCAUGUGGUUUAAUUCGAGGCUACGCGAAGAACCUUACCCAGGCUUGACAUGGUUAAGACUACGCACGAAAGUGCGUUUCUCCGCAAGGAGCUUUUCCACAGGUGCUGCAUGGCUGUCGUCAGCUCGUGCUGUGAAGUGUUGGGUUAAGUCCCGCAACGAGCGCAACCUUUGUCUUUAGUUGCCAUCAGGUUAAGCUGGGCACUCUAGAGAGACUGCCGGUGAUAAACUGGAGGAAGGAGGAGACGACGUCAAGUCAGUAUGGCCCUUAUGCCUGGGGCUACACACGUGCUACAAUGGCCGUUACAAAGGGCAGCAAUACCGCGAGGUGGCGCUAAUCCCAAAAAGACGGCCUCAGUUCAGAUUGGAGGCUGCAACUCGCCUCCAUGAAGUAGGAAUCGCUAGUAACGGUAGAUCAGCAUCGCUACCGUGAAUACGUUCCCGGGUCUUGUACACACCGCCCGU
rnacentral:rRNA from 1 species